GGCUCUAUGAUUAUAUGCCCUAAUUUAGGGUGAUAUACGCUAUUCUGAUGAAUUCAUAUGAGCAGAAAUUAAAUCAAUUUAUGAGAGCU